CCUGUUUUGACCCUAAAACACACAGUAAAACAAUACCACUGAAGGAAAAGAACACAAACACAUACUUACAGCAGCUUUUACGACACCGAAACAGACGCAAAUUCACAGCAGCACGUUUACCUAGAAUAACGUCUCAGGG